rnacentral:rRNA from 1 species
AUCUCUUUUAGAGAUGAGUGGCGAACGGGUGAGUAAUACAUAGGUAACCUGCCCCUGUGCGGGGGAUAACAGGAGGAAACUCCUGCUAAUACCGCAUAGCCAUGAGCACCGCAUGGAGCUCAUGCCAAAUAUCCUUUAUGGGAUAGCGCAGGGAUGGACCUAUGGCGCAUUAGCUGGUUGGCGGGGCAACGGCCCACCAAGGCAACGAUGCGUAGCCGGCCUGAGAGGGCGGACGGCCACAUUGGGACUGAGACACGGCCCAUACUCCUACGGGAGGCAGCAGUAGGGAAUUUUCGGCAAUGGGGGAAACCCUGACCGAGCAACGCCGCGUGAGCGAAGAAGGCCUUCGGGUCGUAAAGCUCUGUUGUAAAGGAAGAACGGCGCAUACAGGAAAUGGUAUGCGAGUGACGGUACUUUACCAGAAAGCCACGGCUAACUACGUGCCAGCAGCCGCGGUAAUACGUAGGUGGCGAGCGUUAUCCGGAAUCAUUGGGCGUAAAGAGGGAGCAGGCGGCCGCAAGGGUCUGUGGUGAAAGACCGAAGCUAAACUUCGGUAAGCCAUGGAAACCGGGCGGCUAGAGUGCGGAAGAGGAUCGUGGAAUUCCAUGUGUAGCGGUGAAAUGCGUAGAUAUAUGGAGGAACACCAGUGGCGAAGGCGACGGUCUGGGCCGCAACUGACGCUCAUUCCCGAAAGCGUGGGGAGCAAAUAGGAUUAGAUACCCUAGUAGUCCACGCCGUAAACGAUGGUCACUAAGUGUCGGGGGUCAAACCCCGGUGCUGCAGUCAACGCAAUAAGUGACCCGCCUGAGUAGUACGUUCGCAAGAAUGAAACUCAAAGGAAUUGACGGAAGGG